CGUUCAAACACCGGUUCCCGUUCGAUCACCGAAGUUAAGCCAGGUUGAUCCUGGUCAGUACCUAGAUGGAUGACCGCUUAGAAAUGUA